rnacentral:rRNA from 1 species
CUCCGGUUGAUCCCGCCGGACCUGACUGCUAUCGGAUUGGUACUAAGCCAUGCGAGUCGUUGUAGCAAUACAAGGCGGACGGCUCAGUAACACGUAGUCAACCUAACCUAUGGACGUGGAUAACCUCGGGAAACUGAGAAUAAACCGCGAUAGAUCAUUAUGCCUGGAAUGGCUUAUGGUUCAAACAAUUUAUUGCCGUAGGAUGGGACUGCGGCCUAUCAGCUUGUUGGUGAGGUAAUGGCCCACCAAGGCUAUAACAGGUACGGGCUCUGAGAGGAGAAGCCCGGAGAUGGGUACUGAGACACGGACCCAGGCCCUAUGGGGCGCAGCAGGCGAGAAACCUUAGCAAUGUGCGAAAGCACGACUAGGUUAAUCCGAGUGAUUUCUGUUGAAGAAAUCUUUUGUCAGUCGUAAAACCACAGACGAAUAAGGGGUGGGCAAGUCUGGUGUCAGCCGCCGCGGUAAUACCAGCACCUCGAGUGGUCAGGAGGUUUAUUGGGCCUAAAGCAUCCGUAGCCGGCUACGCAAGUCUCCGGUUAAAUCCAGCUGCUCAACAGAUGGGCUGCCGGAGAUACUACAUAGCUAGGGAGCGGGAGAGGUAGACGGUAUUCUGUGGGUAGGGGUAAAAUCCACUGAUCCAUAGAGGACCACCAGUGGCGAAGGCGGUCUACCAGAACGCGUUCGACGGUGAGGGAUGAAAGCUGGGGGAGCAAACCGGAUUAGAUACCCGGGUAGUCCCAGCUGUAAACGAUGCAAACUCGGUGAUGCAUUGGCUUAUGGCCAAUGCAGUGCCGCAGGGAAGCCGUUAAGUUUGCCGCCUGGGAAGUACGGACGCAAGUCUGAAACUUAAAGGAUUGGCGGGGGAGCACA